GGGGGCAGAAGAGGAUAAAUUUCAGCUGUUCUCAGCCCUGCUGCAUCUUUCCCAAAGACCUCCGACAGCAGCAUGAAUUGGGGAGGCUUCCUCCUCCUUGUGACCCUAGUUGCCCUCAGCUCAGAGGUACAGGAGCUUCAGGCUGCCAUGAGACCCUUGAAACUUCUGGGCACCUGCGUUGAGCUCUGCAGUGGUGACUGGGACUGUGGUCCAGAGGAGCACUGCGUCAGGAAUGGUUGUGGCCACGAAUGUGUCUCGGACUAAGGACAGAUGAAGACAUCCUAAGGGCCAUCCUUCUCUAAUAG